CUUACGCAAUGUCAUAGUGACACAUAUUUUCUCUGAGAUAAGUAUUUUCAAAGUGUAUAUUUGUCAAGUUUCUAAUGGACUUUUAUUGUUUUCAGCAUUAUUGAUUUUUCUGAGGUCAUGUUUUCGAGUGACAACAGGCUGUCAACGUAUACGAGAGGAGUAAAAUAGGAUUAUUAUUUGGAUAUAAGAGUAACUGGCUACCUUGUGCGUAACUGAAUGCACUUGCGGCAUAGGAACAUUAGGACGAUAUGCCCUAAAGAAAUAUAUAAGAGUGAGGUAUAAUUCAGCUUAUUAUGGGUCUGUUCUGAGGCUUAGGAUGCUCAGGAUGAGCCAGAAAUAGUUAUUCUGCCAAAUAUUAAUUUAUUUUUCGUGUUUACGGGUUAACACGUGGGAAUGCUCUUUAGAGAAGGACACCAAUGGUCUCUCGAGCUUUGGAAGGGAGUGCAGUAGUCAAUCAGGCACUUCUGGGAGUUGGGAAGCAUGUCGAUGCUGUACCUGGAUACUCUGGAUAGGCCAGGAUAAGGAAACAUUGGGAAUGUGGUAAUUCCGUAAAUUCCUGUUUCUGGAGUUUAUGGGCUCUGAUAUGAGCGAAUAAAUAUCAUGCGUCAUGGAGCUGGUGUUCAGCAAGUAUCAGGAUAGGAGUUGUUCAACUCUGAAGGAUCAAGGAUGCAUGCUGGAAUUUAAAGGCAACAGUUUGAGAGUGG